GAUGAACGCUGGCGGCGUGCCUAAUACAUGCAAGUCGAGCGAACAGAUGAGGAGCUUGCUCCUCUGACGUUAGCGGCGGACGGGUGAGUAACACGUGGAUAACCUACCUAUAAGACUGGGAUAACUUCGGGAAACCGGAGCUAAUACCGGAUAAUAUAUUGAACCGCAUGGUUCAAUAGUGAAAGACGGUUUUGCUGUCACUUAUAGAUGGAUCCGCGCCGCAUUAGCUAGUUGGUAAGGUAACGGCUUACCAAGGCAACGAUGCGUGGCCGACCUGAGAGGGUGAGCGGCCACACUGGAACUGAGACACGGUCCAGACUCCUACGGGAGGCAGCAGUAGGGACUCUUCCGCAAUGGGCGAAAGCCUGACGGAGCGACGCCGCGUGAGUGAUGAAGGUCUUCGUAUCGUAAAACUCUGUUAUUAGGGAAGAACAAAUGUGUAAGUAACUAUGCACGUCUUGACGGUACCUAAUCAGAAAGCCACGGCUAACUACGUG
rnacentral:rRNA from 1 species